AACGAACGCUGGCGGCGCGCCUAAUACAUGCAAGUCGAGCGAGAAGGUGUAGCAAUACACUUGUAAAGCGGCGAACGGGUGAGGAAUACAUGGGUAAUCUACCAUCGAGUGGGGAAUAACCAACCGAAAGGUUGGCUAAUACCGCGUACGCCUCCGAGUCUUCGGGUUCGGAGGGAAAGCUGCACUGUGAGUGUAGCGCUCUUUGAUGAGCUCAUGUCCUAUCAGCUUGUUGGUAGGGUAACGGCCUACCAAGGCUUUGACGGGUAGCUGGUCUGAGAGGACGAUCAGCCACACUGGCACUGCGACACGGGCCAGACUCCUACGGGAGGCAGCAGUAAGGAAUAUUGCGCAAUGGGCGAAAGCCUGACGCAGCGACGCCGCGUGGGGGAUGAAGGUCUUCGGAUUGUAAACCCCUUUCGGAGGGAAGAUGGAGCGAGCAAUCGUUCGGACGGUACCUCCAGAAGCAGCCACGGCCAACUUCGUGCCAGCA
rnacentral:rRNA from 1 species